rnacentral:sRNA from 1 species
UGUACUCUAGGGACGUGUUUGAUUUCAACCCUUUUCCUUGCCUAGCAAAAGAGUAGGCUGAUGAACUUGCUGUUCCUCCAUUGACAGAAAAUACUCGACUAUUUUCGGUGUGUCCCCAAAAUUACCCUGAUGUGGCAACUCUGUACUUCUCACUCUCAACUCGAGAGCCGGUUUUCCAUCACCGAGUUUCUAUAACCAGCGCCACCACCCUGCCUGUCAAAUAAUUUUGCCUCCCUAACCUAUGUUCGAACGAUUCCCUAAGCAUAAACUUAAAUGGGGCCACAUUCAUACAUAUGUUUCAGGCGAUAUGCAUGCACUGUACAAAGACAUUAACUAGCAUCUGAUUGUCCGAAUGAACAAGAACGGUUGUUAUCUCGGUAUGAUACGAACCUAUUCACACCACCUUUGACUCAGGUACAGGAGAUGUAUAUAUGUAGCUUUUCUGAAUGAGGGAAAGGAGUAUGUCAUUGCGCAUACUCUAGUCUACCCCAUCAAUUUUCUCAUCAUGCAUCUAAAUACACCACACAACGUUGGAAUUAAAAUCAACCACGUCCAGCUUAACAGGAAGCAAAUGGGGUACCGACGAAAUAGGACAACCCACUACAACGUCAUGUCCACACCACAAUGUCGCCAAUACACCUGAACUAAACAAAACGCAUGUCAGACUAACGGGCCCAUAUUUUGUGGGCUGUCACUGCGAGGUAGCAAACGAGCACCCUACACGCGGUCUGUGGCAAUAGGCCGGGCUGGCCGUCCUUCCGAUUUGGUUGAUUCAAAUCAGCUAUCAUGCAUGCUACCAUAUAUCUAUAUAUAUGGGGUCUAUCUAAUGGAAUAGCAUGUGCGGGCUGGUCGAGUUGACGAUGAAUUAUUACCUCGACUGCUCCAGUAACUUACUUGAAUAUUUAAGGUGAACUGUUUCCGUUGUUGCGUUUUUGUGUUCGCAUUCAUGGCCCAGGGUACCGGGUCCCUGAGUUAGUUUAUAUGUACGGAGUACAUGUACAUGUACAUGUACAUGUACAUUAACCCCAAAAAGCCUAUUUACGUCACUUGGUUCUUACUUGGUUUUUUUCGAGGGAUGGAUUCUGCGACUUGGCGUGGUGCUCAAAAGAGGGGUUAGAGGUAUAGGCGAAGAGGGCCCAAAGCUGCAGGGCAAUUGAGCACUUGAAGGAGGGCAAAGCUAAGGAAGGGAAAGAUGCCAGAACACCUUUGGCCUAACUAAAUUUGAACAAUAAACCGGUUUCCAUAUCUCCUUCUCAGUAGCUUUCGGAGCUAAUAUUUGGCAUGAAUACUAUGGGAAGGAAAACGAAACUGAGGCGGAACUCGUUCGUCCCCCAUUGCGAAGAGUAAUGUGGCCGUAUCAACCAAU